rnacentral:rRNA from 1 species
UCGAGAAUAUUCCUCAAUGGGCGAAAGCCUGAAGGAGCGACGCCGCGUGCAGGAUGAAGGCCCUUGGGUCGUAAACUGCUUUUCUACAUAAAGAAUUUGUGACGGUAAUGUAGGAAUAAGAGGUUACUAACUCUGUGCCAGCAGUAGCGGUAAUACAGAGACCUCAAGCGUUAUCCGGAUUUAUUGGGCGUAAAGCGCGUGUAGGCGGGGAUGUUAGUCAGACGUCAAAUCUUCGAGCUUAACUCGAAAACUGCGUUUGAAACGGCAUCUCUUGAGAGAGCGAGAGACCAGUGGAACGUAUGGUGUAGCAGUGAAAUGCGUUGAUAUCAUACGGAACACCAUAGGCGAAGGCAUCUGGUUGGCGCUCAUCUGACGCUGAGACGCGAAAGCGUGGGUAGCG